rnacentral:rRNA from 1 species
CUCAACAGGGCGAACCGGGGGAACUGAAACAUCUAAGUACCCCGAGGAAAAGAAAUCAACCGAGAUUCCGAAAGUAGCGGCGAGCGAAAUUGGACUAGCCCUUAAGCUUUACACGCGUUAGACGAACAGCCUGGAAAGGCCGACGAUACAGGGUGAUAGUCCCGUAGUUGACGACGUGUGUUCAGUGAAAUCGAGUAGGGCGGGACACGUGAUAUCCUGUCUGAAUAUGGGGGGACCAUCCUCCAAGGCUAAAUACUACUGACUGACCGAUAGUGAACCAGUACCGUGAGG